rnacentral:rRNA from 1 species
UACGUAGGGUCCGAGCGUUGUCCGGAAUUACUGGGCGUAAAGGGUGCGUAGGCGGUUGUUUAAGUCUGUCGUGAAAUCCCCGGGCUCAACCUGGGAAUGGCGAUGGAUGCUGGGCAGCUAGAGUGUGUCAGAGGAUGGUGGAAUUCCCGGUGUAGCGGUGAAAUGCGUAGAGAUCGGGAGGAACAUCAGUGGCGAAGGCGGCCAUCUGGGACAACACUGACGCUGAAGCACGAAAGCGUGGGGAGCAAACAGG